GGCAAUGUAGCUUAGAUGGUAGAGCGCUCGCUUAGCAUGCGAGUGAUACGAGGAUUGAUACCUGCAUCUCCA
rnacentral:tRNA from 1 species